rnacentral:rRNA from 1 species
AUUGGACGCUGGCGGCAGGCUUAACACAUGCAAGUCGAGCGGGGAAGGGUAGCUUGCUACCUAACCUAGCGGCGGACGGGUGAGUAAUGCUUAGGAAUCUGCCUAUUAGUGGGGGACAACAUUCCGAAAGGAAUGCUAAUACCGCAUACGCCCUACGGGGGAAAGCAGGGGAUCUUCGGACCUUGCGCUAAUAGAUGAGCCUAAGUCAGAUUAGCUAGUUGGUGGGGUAAAGGCCUACCAAGGCGACGAUCUGUAGCGGGUCUGAGAGGAUGAUCCGCCACACUGGGACUGAGACACGGCCCAGACUCCUACGGGAGGCAGCAGUGGGGAAUAUUGGACAAUGGGCGCAAGCCUGAUCCAGCCAUGCCGCGUGUGUGAAGAAGGCCUUUUGGUUGUAAAGCACUUUAAGCGAGGAGGAGGCUACUUGGAUUAAUACUCUAGGAUAGUGGACGUUACUCGCAGAAUAAGCACCGGCUAACUCUGUGCCAGCAGCCGCAGUAACAC